rnacentral:rRNA from 1 species
AUUGAACGCUGGCGGCAGGCCUAACACAUGCAAGUCGAGCGAGCGGCGGACGGGUGAGUAAUGUAUGGGGACUGCCCGAUAGAGGGGGAUAACUACUGGAAACGGUAGCUAAUACCGCAUACUAUCGGAUAACCCAUAUGGGAUUGGCUAGUAGGGGAGGUAAUGGCUCACCUAGGCGACGAUGCCUAGCUGGUCUGAGAGGAUGAGCAGACAAACUGGGACAGAGACACGGCCAAGACUCCUACGGAGGCAGCAGGGGGGAAUAUGGCACAAUGGGCGCAAGCCUGAUGCAGCCAUGCCGCGUGUAUGAAGAAGGCCCUAGGGUUGUAAAGUACUUUCAGUCUGGAGGCGUUACCUACAGAAGAAGCACCGGCUAACUCCGUGCCAGCAGCCGCGGUAAUAC